AAUAGCUUCCCAAUGAUAAAUCGGAAGGACAGGAGUGCUACGUACAGACAAAAAGGUUGAAAUGCAAAAAAAUAAAAAGUGGAAAACAGCUGGUCCUCAGGAUCCUCCAGCCUUUGCCAAGGAAAAGUGGUUUUAAUCACUGAAGAAUGAGGCUUCAACAUAUGGAAAGACUGUAAGGUGUUCCUGGACAGCAAGUGAGUGACUUGCUCACAGGCGGUAAUUCAGGGACCCAGGUUUCUUCUACCUGGUAGCUCUACUGUCCUUCAGAACCUCAGAGCCCUGUGCAUUCAGCCAGCAGGAGAAAGACCACUACUAAGGUCAUUCACUUUGGGAGAAGCCAGUCUUCAUGCCAUGAGGACGUUCAGGCAGCCCUGUGGAGAGAACCACAUGGAAAGGAUCUGAGGUCUCUCACCAGCACCAAUUUGCCAGCUAUGGGAAUGGGCCACCUUGGAAGGAGACUGUCCAGCCCAAGUGAAGGCUGCAGAUAACUGCAGCUUUGGCCAACAUUUGGCUAUAUUGCUUUGGGAAAUCUCAAGCCAGAACCAUCUGGCCAAGCUGCUCUUAAAUUCCUGAUCCACAGAAGUUUUGGAAGGCCCUCUUGUGUGAUCCAGAGAGGUUGCAACAUUUUUUGAGUCAGCUGCCUAUGCUAUUUGCAGACCUGCUGGUUGUUGGUGACGCAGCUUCUUCUGCACCCUCCCUGGAUUGUGCAAUUAAUUGGCUUAAGCUAGAGCUGCAAAAACAACACCAAACACAGGUAUUGUACUCUGGCAGGCUAACUACAGAGGCAGUGAGAUUCAAGGCAAUCAAUAAAUAUAAAGGGG
rnacentral:lncRNA from 1 species